ACAGUCUACAAAACCCCACAGCUCCUAAGAAUUCUCUCACCUGCCUUCUGCCCUUAAGCUCCGGUAGAUUGCAAAUAACCUGCUUUCUUUCUGUUCCCGAGCUGCGUUCGGACCCGUCUGAUCGUAAAUCCCAUGUAAGGUACCUGCCGUCGGAAGAUUUGAACGUUCUACUUGGACACCUAAAACCCACAGUCCUCCAGGUACCUGCUGUCGGAAGAUUUGAACUUUCUACUUGGACAACUAACACCCACAGUCCUCCAGCUGCGUUCGGACCCAUGUCUUAUUGUAAAUCCCACGCAAGGUACCUGCCGUCGGAAGAUUUGAGCUUUCUUCUUGAACACCUCAUACCCACAGUCCUCCAGACAGAAAGACAACAGGUACAAAGCCCUAAGGAUUAUAAAGGUAUGCUGCUUACCAUCAUCUUAGUGACCAAGGCAGCGAAGCUGUUUCUGUACCUUGGAACAGUCUUCCCUGACAAGCCAGAGAACAGUGAUAAAGCCACCAGCCUUGGGAUCAGGACUGAAAAGGCAAGAGUGAUGGAGAUUUCUCCUGCGCUAAGCCAAGAGAAGGUUUCAGCACUUCAGACAGCUCCCACCGAAGUAGCCGCGCUCCCAGCUGCUUGCAGAUGUUGAAAAGGAAAGCCUCGGUUUGUCUUGAGGUUGUCAGCAGGUGCAAGACACGUAAUAAAAUGCAAUGUGUUCCUAA
rnacentral:lncRNA from 1 species